rnacentral:rRNA from 1 species
CUGGAGGUAUCAGAAGUGCGAAUGCUGACAUAAGUAACGAUAAAGCGGGUGAAAAGCCCGCUCGCCGGAAGACCAAGGGUUCCUGUCCAACGUUAAUCGGGGCAGGGUGAGUCGACCCCUAAGGCGAGGCCGAAAGGCGUAGUCGAUGGGAAACGGGUUAAUAUUCCCGUACUUGGUGUUACUGCGAAGGGGGGACGGAGAAGGCUAUGUUGGCCGGGCGACGGUUGUCCCGGUUUAAGCGUGUAGGUGUGUGUUCCAGGUAAAUCCGGUUCACUUUAACACUGAGGCGUGACGACGAGGCACUACGGUGCUGAAGCAACAAAUGCCCUGCUUCCAGGAAAAGCCUCUAAGCAUCAGGUAACAUCAAAUCGUACCCCAAACCGACACAGGUGGUCAGGUAGAGAAUACCAAGGCGCUUGAGAGAACUCGGGUGAAGGAACUAGGCAAAAUGGUGCCGUAACUUCGGGAGAAGGCACGCUGACACGUAGGUGAAGUGAUUUACUCAUGGAGCUGAAGUCAGUCGAAGAUACCAGCUGGCUGCAACUGUUUAUUAAAAACACAGCACUGUGCAAACACGAAAGUGGACGUAUACGGUGUGACGCCUGCCCGGUGCCGGAAGGUUAAUUGAUGGGGUCAGCGCAAGCGAAGCUCCUGAUCGAAGCCCCGGUAAACGGCGGCCGUAACUAUAACGGUCCUAAGGUAGCGAAAUUCCUUGUCGGGUAAGUUCCGACCUGCACGAAUGGCGUAAUGAUGGCCAGGCUGUCUCCACCCGAGACUCAGUGAAAUUGAACUCGCUGUGAAGAUGCAGUGUACCCGCGGCAAGACGGAAAGACCCCGUGAACCUUUACUAUAGCUUGACACUGAACAUUGAGCCUUGAUGUGUAGGAUAGGUGGGAGGCUUUGAAGUGUGGACGCCAGUCUGCAUGGAGCCGACCUUGAAAUACCACCCUUUAAUGUUUGAUGUUCUAACGUGGACCCGU